AAUAGUCCAAAGAAUUGACGUUUUGUAGCAUGCAAAUCUUAGGAAAUCCAAACAUUUUAUCAGAAUACAGACAUAUCUUCAUUAUGUCCUAACUAUGGUUGUCUCAUGCUACAAAGGGAAAUCAAGUAGUUGUGACAGACUGGACUGUAUGUAUUGCCUGCAAAGUUAAAAUGUUUGCUCUCUGGCCUCUUGUGGACAGGUCCUAAAUAGGCCACAAAUUGUGCCAUUCCUGAUAUUACCACGAGAGGGGGCACCUGGGCCCCACAAGUGGUGCAGAAGUGGGACCAGUGCUGGACACAGGACAGAUUUCUCAUUAUACAUGUCCAACUGUCACAUUUCUAACAGAACACCUUCAGGAAAUGAAACUACCUAUUCAUUACAGCACUGUGUGGAAAGUCAAGCAGUAGGUGAGUGAGUCAGUCAAUCUGGAUCUACAGCUCUUUGGCAAUUAUUGCACUCAUUUUUAUGUCUUAUACAAAUUGAAUUUUCAGGUUAGAAUUUUGUCAUGGGCUUAUUUAUUAUUUACCUCAUGAGGAAACUGUUAAAACCAUUCCUUUAGAGAUUUGUUUAUUGCACAUUGCAGUUGUUAUAGAACUUUAAAUACACUAAUAGUUAACGGUGAUGUCUUCAUAAGUUAAGCACAUGAGCAGUUGGUAUUUUAGAGAAUUAGUAGCCAGAGCAACUGCUUGGAUAUAAAAUAACUGUUAAAACCAAAUGUAAAAGCAACAAUCUCAAGUUACACUGCCCUAUGCUCUCUGUAUCCAUAUUGUGCUGUAAGGUUUCUUCCCUUCAGAAACAGGAAAUUUGUCAGCAAGUGGAACAAAGUGGUACAGUCCAUAAGUUCAUCCAAAACUUGGGAUGAAAAAGUUUUGCUAUCCCACUCACCUCCUAAAUUCCACAAUGACUUCCAGACAGAGUGGAUUAGUAAAGUCCUGACAGCUCCACUCCCAGCCAGAAAGACCCAUCACUGUCUUGUCUGUCCUCGUGCCACAUGUCAGCUAAGUACUGCUGUAAUAAGUUCUGGCUUAGGUUUUGUUUUUAGAGUUGUUAGCUUUGAUUUUUGUUUGUUUUUGGUGCUGGGGAUCAAGCCAGGGAUAGUAUGUGCUGGUAAGCACAUAUUCUGCCAUAGAGCUCUGCCCCUAAUGUACUCUUGAUAGAUGUUAUAUAUUACAAGGAAACUGAUGAUGCGCAGGGAGAGAAUUCUUAUGAAACAACCUUAUCAGGCUUUUGUUCUGUAUCAAUUAAGCCUUUCUCCCAAGCCUGCCUUGAUGCUUACCUACAAAGAAAGCCAAAUUACCACAAAGUAAAAAUGACAUGCCGCUCUGAAGGCAGUGUACUGCUUAACAUUUAGUGUCUCUCUCUCUCUCCGUUGCAACUGAGGACUUUCUUCAGUUGCUUCACCCACCUUGCUAGACCAUGUCUGUGGCCCAUUUUCCAAGUUCGGUAGAGAAAUGUUAAGUGCUGUAGGAAACUGAUGUUCUUGCAAGCAAGCAUUGUACCAGCCUUUAAAGCAGUGAAUUUAUAUGCGCAUGGACAUUAGUCUUAAUAAACUUUGGUUUUGUU
rnacentral:lncRNA from 1 species